rnacentral:rRNA from 1 species
CUGGGCGUUAAGUUGCAGGGUAUAGACCCGAAACCCGGUGAUCUAGCCAUGGGCAGGUUGAAGGUUGGGUAACACUAACUGGAGGACCGAACCGACUAAUGUUGAAAAAUUAGCGGAUGACUUGUGGCUGGGGGUGAAAGGCCAAUCAAACCGGGAGAUAGCUGGUUCUCCCCGAAAGCUAUUUAGGUAGCGCCUCGUGAAUUCAUCUCCGGGGGUAGAGCACUGUUUCGGCAAGGGGGUCAUCCCGACUUACCAACCCGAUGCAAACUGCGAAUACCGGAGAAUGUUAUCACGGGAGACACACGGCGGGUGCUAACGUCCGUCGUGAAGAGGGAAACAACCCAGACCGCCAGCUAAGGUCCCAAAGUCAUGGUUAAGUGGGAAACGAUGUGGGAAGGCCCAGACAGCCAGGAUGUUGGCUUAGAAGCAGCCAUCAUUUAAAGAAAGCGUAAUAGCUCACUGGUCGAGUCGGCCUGCGCGGAAGAUGUAACGGGGCUAAACCAUGCACCGAAGCUGCGGCAGCGACGCUUAUGCGUUGUUGGGUAGGGGAGCGUUCUGUAAGCCUGUGAAGGUGUGCUGUGAGGCAUGCUGGAGGUAUCAGAAGUGCGAAUGCUGACAUAAGUAACGAUAAAGCGGGUGAAAAGCCCGCUCGCCGGAAG